AAUCAAAAAACGACGGAGUGUAAACAGAUGUUUUUUCUAUGAUCAUAGCAUUAUUAAUUAAAAAUUCUUUUAGAAAAUUAUUGAAUUUUAAAUGAACGCUGUUUCAACAAUUGAUGAUAAAAAUAAAAAUGUAUUUAAAAAAAGUCAAAAGCGUUUAUGAAAGAUUUUACAGCUUAAAAUGAUGAAAAGUAUGAAAAUGAGAAUGGAGAUUUUAGAAAACGAUAACUCUUUUGUGGAAAACUAUGACGACAAUGUUGAUGUAAAAGAAGUAAUUCGCUGUUCGAUAAAAAACAAACACGCUUCUUUUAAUUCAGACAUUUUAGCGGAAAAAGAGGAAUCUGAGAUAGAAGAUUGUGAAGAUUCAGAUAAGACAUGCUCAAGGAGGCAAAACAAAUUGUUCAAGAAAGUGUUUUAAAUCUAUUGGCAAAGACAACCUCGAUGAUGCAUUUAUAAACUUUUACAGCCAGUUCAAUACAAAGAUGAGCAGGAUUUAUUUUUACACGACUUGAUUGAUGUUACGGAUAUUGUGAGGAAGAGGCCUGGUUCAAGAGAUAGUAAGGGAAAAUGUCGUGAUACAAAUGAUGAUAUUGUACGAAAAAGAAAAAGUAACGGCGGAAACAAAAAGGAAUUUAAAUAUCAUGUUUUGAUCGGAGAUGAACGAGUACAGAAAAACUCAUUAGAAGACGAAGAAACACUUGUUGCACGAAGAGAACGAAAUCGGCUUGCUGCUCAAAGAUGUCGACAAAGAAGGAGAGACAGAAUUGAAAAACUUGAAAAGAUAUGUCAGCGUCUUGAAUGUGACGGAAGCAGUUUAGAAAACGAGAUCAGCGAACUGCAGAAAGAAAUGAGUGAUCUUCAGCAAGUAUUAACCAAUCACAAAUGCCACGCUAAAAUUAACACUAAAUUUGUGACUAAGUCUGGAAAUAAAACUGAAACUUAUAUUCCUACUUUAUAGAAGAAUUUAAAUAAAUUGAGAACUAUAAAAAUUAA